rnacentral:rRNA from 1 species
CCCUUAGAUGUUCUGGGCCGCACGCGUGCUACACUGAGUGGAUCAGCGGGUCAGGUUGCGCGAAAGCGUUUCCUAAUCUUUAAAUCCGCUCGUGAUGGGGAUUGACGGUUGCAAUUUUCUGUCAUGAACGAGGAAUACCUUGUAAGCGCGGGUCAUCAUCCCGCGCUGAAUACGUCCCUGCCCUUUGUACACACCGCCCGUCGCUACUACCGAUUGGAUGGUUUAGUGAGGCCCUCGGAUCGGCCCCGCCGGGGUCGGCCCACGGCCCUGGCGGAGCGCUGAGAAGACGGUCGAACUUGACUAUCUAGAGGAAGUAAAAGUCGUAACA